UGCAAAACGAUUCCCGCCAUAGCGUUAGCUGGUAUUUCCGGCCCCGGGCGGGCUCGCCGUUUCUUUUCUGUGCUGCGAACAUUUAAGACCGAGUCUCCUAGCAACUUUCCAGUACAUAAUACGGUCUGAUUAACUGUAAUCACCGCGCUGUACCUCAGAUGUCUAGAACUUACUCACACGCGCAAGUUUCUACCCUUUGACCAGCGUCUCCCCAAUUAGCAGCAGCCAGAUCUCGAAGAGGCUUGCAAAGUACGACAGGACUCUGGACUUACUUUCAUCCCGAGCACAACGAGAAAUACACAACCCAUAUACGUAGGAAAAAAAAAAAGACCUCACGCCACCACGUUGACUCACGGUUCGUUUCGUAAUUCGCAGCGUGGGUAGCUUACGGGUCUGGAAGCAAUGUCACCUACAGUGAGUCACAGGGCCGCAGGGCUGAGAGACGUCAAAGGAAAAUUCGAUGCCAGGAGGACAAAUCGGAGAAGCUCAAGGGGGAGCUAGCUAAUAUGCCAGCACAUGUCCCCGAGAACUGACUGAAGAGGAAGCAAAAGUGUGUGGAAAACUUUGCAGUUGAUGGGGCGGACCGAACAGAAACGCAGCAGCAUUGCACAAAUUCAUGGCUACGUUCGUGACUAAACUCGACGAGGUGGAUACAUUCAUUGGCUAAAAGGACUCGAGGGUCUUCGUAUCCCCUGAUGCCCUUGUCUGAGUCUGAGGAACCGGGGCCUCACCCACAGUGAGGCAUUUCCAUACUCUUGUGUCCUCCCGUCCUUCGAAUGCCCGGGCUCGAGUCCUUGCACAUGCGUGCCCUCCCCUCCUCCCCGCAUCCUGAAACCACCACCCAAAGGCGGGCAAGGUGACCUGCAACGGGAAGCCCAGUGGCU